rfam:Pseudomonas taeanensis MS-3 contig_01, whole genome shotgun sequence.
UGGAACUGCUGGUUUUCGGCAGUUUCCUAACUGAGAGGAAGCCCACAUGGCACUCAGCGUUGAAGAAAAAGCUCAGAUCGUUAACGACUAUAAGCAAGCUGAA